CAAAGACCCGAAGUGUCGCUGGUGGUGCUGUCUGCCUCGUGGACAGAUUGUCUGUCUGCGUUUGAUGGGAUUCAGGCCUGCAACAAAUUUUAAAGAAAGGAAGAGCUAGUUUUCUUCUUGCAAGACACGCGCACAGGCGUAUUUGCUGGCACGGCACAGGUACCACACUGUGGACUGCAGGAAAGUAGAGCUGAAAUGGGAAAAAUGCAAGUUUCGGGUGUUCUUGCAGUAACAUCAGCCCUGCUCUGCAUCCAUGCAAAGGUUUGCUUUCAUGAGGAGUCUCUGGACAGUGAUGAUUGGAGAAGUCGUUGGAUGAAUAGAAACGAUGGAGAGUGGAAAUUUACGACUGGGGACUUGAAUGGAGAUGCAGGGCUGCAGAUGAGUUCCUAUGCUCAGUCUUACUGCAAGGAGCCUUUAAGCAAUGAGGAGAACCCUGUGCUCCUUCAUUUCUGCUCCUGCUCGUUUUCAGUCAAUUACUUGCAGAAGGUUGACUGUGGUGGUGGCGGCUACGUGAUGGGUUUCACUUCUCACUGGGAUAAGGCUGGCAUGCAUAGAGGAUCUUACUACAUUAUG